GACGAACGCUGGCGGCGUGCCUAAUACAUGCAAGUUGAGCGCUGAAGGUUGGUACUUGUACCGACUGGAUGAGCAGCGAACGGGUGAGUAACGCGUGGGGAAUCUGCCUUUGAGCGGGGGACAACAUUUGGAAACGAAUGCUAAUACCGCAUAAAAACUUUAAACACAAGUUUUAAGUUUGAAAGAUGCAAUUGCAUCACUCAAAGAUGAUCCCGCGUUGUAUUAGCUAGUUGGUGAGGUAAAGGCGCACCAAGGCGAUGAUACAUAGCCGACCUGGGAGGGUGAUCGGCCACCAUGGGACUGAGACACGGCACAAACUCCUACGGGAGGCAGCAGUAGGGAAUCUUCGGCAAUGGACGAAAGUCUGACCUAGCAACGCCGCGUGAGUGAAGAAGGUUUUCGGAUCGUAAAACUCUGUUGGUAGAGAAGAACGUUGGUGAGAGUGGAAAGCUCAUCAAGUGACGGUAACUACCCAGAAAGGGACGGCUAACUACGUGCCAGCCGCCGCAGUAA
rnacentral:rRNA from 1 species